AUCUAUCACAACAUACACUCAUUUGGUAAUAGUCGCUCCGAUCCAAAGCAUCUGGAGUUGUACUUCUACAAUGAUGAUCCAAGCUUAGAGCAUCGGUACCGCCGCUGCCGCGAGGAAAUGUAUGAGCAAGACAGGCAGGUGAUUGGAAUCAUAACUGACAUUCUACGCGAUAACCCAUACUCUCAACAGUUCAGGAGUUUGGGACAAGCCCAAAACCUCGAGGAUUACAGACUUAUCUUGAACGUUGACCAAAGAUUGGACCAGAGAACAUACAACGCACCAAUCAAUUCGAAGGUAGCUGCAGUGUGGAUUGAAGGAAAUCAAAGAAGAGAUACUUAUGACAGGAAUGUAAUACUUCAUGGGAACAACAACGAAAUAGAGCACAUUAGAUCAUAUUACGGGUGCUACGACCCGUUAUCAUAUCCUCUAUUCUUUCCAAGAGCUGAACUCGGUUGGCAUAGGAAAAUCCCAAAGAAGGAUACACAAGAGGAAGAUGUUGAUGAUGAAAAUAUCAGUAAUGACGAUGACCCAGGUAAUUGUAUUCAAAAUUAA
rnacentral:rRNA from 1 species